ACAGCCUAGAGGGGCAGGACAGAGCAAGCACUGGGAUGGGGAGCGGGGCCCAAACCAGGCCCCCAGGAUGCUCAGAGCAGCCUAGCCCGGAUCAAAAAGGUGGGCCACUUAUUUUUGGAACUUAGUAUCUCAGUGUACAAGAGACAACAGGAAACCCCAAUCCCACCAGACAUGUCCCUGCGGUCUGGCUGGCCGUCACCAACGGCACUACAGCCUGGUCUCAGAAUAAGGCCCACGUGUAAACGCCAGAAAAGCUAUGCACUCUCAGAAAGAAAGAGCUGGUGUGAGCAGAGGAAGAAGUGUCCGAAAGUAAAAGUAAUUACAGUUUCACAGAGAACUCCGAGAAGCCGGCUCUGCUCUCCACAGACCACUCCUGGACGCACAGGCAGAAAAAGAAGUUCUUCCCAAGGAUAACCAGCGUGGUGCCACACACCUGUCAUCCCGGCAACCAGCAGGUGAAGAGUUCGAGGCCAGCCUGGGCUACACAGACCGGCUCCCACAUCUCUAGACCCAACAUGGCUUCCAGCCGUCUCGCCUGCAGUACUGCAGCAGCCUCCUGCCUCCGCCCCCUUCUACAGGACAGAAAGAACAUCCUAACGUCACCGAGACCAUGGCAGGCCUUUGCCUGAAGCUUCCGCCACACUCAGUCCCUCUUGUCGGGGUGCUUCCUGUUACACUGGCUGGAGGCUUCCCCAAGCUCAGCUCUUCUAAGAGCCUCUGCCUCAUCCCCUGAGUCCACCCUUUCUCCGCCCUGGCUUCUAUGUCUUUAGUCCACCAUGGUACCAGGAGAAAAGAAGGAGAAGCCCCUCACCCUAGGAUCCAGGAUGCCUCUCCCGCUGACAGAGUCCUAGGAAAUUUCAAUGCAACCAACAAGCAGAAAUCACCUGCAUAAAUAAAUGCUUUCCUGAAGACA